GAGACAGAUGAUGCUCGUGCGGCAUUUGCAGGAUGGUCAUCAAGAUUUUAACACCAGAGGGAGUGGAAAUCUGGCAAACAUGUCGUCUCCGCCCAUGGGGCCCAACAUGGCAAAUGAAAUAUGAUUGAGGCGUUUUGGUGAUUUUCACCUCAUGCCUCCCCGUGUAUCUGGCAACGCCGAUUGAACGCACCUGCAAGGAACUUGCUCAUCACUGCUGGUUUUAAAAGGAAGACCUGAGGAUCAACUCGUCGCUGAAGCAUCAAACCGCUUUUGAAAUAAGGAAAUCACCUUGGAACUGUUUUGGAUCCCAAUCACGUCUGCCUGCCUGCCAAGCCUCUCACCUGUUCCAUG